UUUUGUAUAAUGGGUCAGCGACUUAUAUUCUGUAGCAAGGUUAACCGAAUAGGGGAGCCGAAGGGAAACCGAGUCUUAACUGGGCGUUAAGUUGCAGGGUAUAGACCCGAAACCCGGUGAUCUAGCCAUGGGCAGGUUGAAGGUUGGGUAACACUAACUGGAGGACCGAACCGACUAAUGUUGAAAAAUUAGCGGAUGACUUGUGGCUGGGGGUGAAAGGCCAAUCAAACCGGGAGAUAGCUGGUUCUCCCCGAAAGCUAUUUAGGUAGCGCCUCGUGAAUUCAUCUCCGGGGGUAGAGCACUGUUUCGGCAAGGGGGUCAUCCCGACUUACCAACCCGAUGCAAACUGCGAAUACCGGAGAAUGUUAUCACGGGAGACACACGGCGGGUGCUAACGUCCGUCGUGAAGAGGGAAACAACCCAGACCGCCAGCUAAGGUCCCAAAGUCAUGGUUAAGU
rnacentral:rRNA from 1 species